AACCAUUCUCACCUGCGGCUAGACCUGCGGAGGGAUCAUUACACAAUACAAUAUGAAGGCUGUCCGCAGCUGGAGUAUUUUAUUACCCUUGUCUUUUGCGCACUUGUUGUUUCCUGGGCGGGUUCGCUCGCCACCAGGACCACCAAAUAAACCUUUUUUAUGCAGUUGCAAUCAGCGUCAGUACAAACAAUGUAAAUCAUUUACAACUUUUAACAACGGAUCUCAGAUCGGAAGAGCACA
rnacentral:misc_RNA from 1 species